UACAGAGGGCGAGCAGUGUUGGUGAAUUACUGGGCGUAAAGGGCGCGUAGGCGGCCUGUUAAGUCGAACGUGAAAUCCCCGGGCUCAACCCGGGAACUGCGUCCGAUACUGGCAGGCUUGAAUUCGGGAGAGGGAUGCGGAAUUCCAGGUGUAGCGGUGAAAUGCGUAGAUAUCUGGAGGAACACCGGUGGCGAAGGCGGCUCUCUGGGACGGUACUGACACUGAGACGCGAAAGCGUGGGGAGCGAACAGG
rnacentral:rRNA from 1 species